CAGCGGGUACAAUUUAGAAACAGUCAUUCCAUGGGAUGUGAGAGGCUGCUGGAAACAGAAACAAAUGGAGACGACGUUCAUCACGCAGCUGCCCUGGGCCCUGUGAGGGCAGCUUGCUACUGCAUCUUCAGGGCUUGGCACAUGGCAAGUGACUGUGGUUAGAAUGUGGACGUGAUGGCUGGAGCUCCAGAAGUCAUCUUGGUCCAUGAGUUACCCUCAGGAAUGAAAGUCUUGUGUAGUGGUGCAAAAAUACAAAAGGGUUCACUCCAGUGAGUGCUGGCCACACCAAACCUGGAUCCGCUCCCUGCUGACCUUUUAAGCAGACCCUGCUUUAAACGAAGGACCAAAUCCCAUGAACACAUGGGCAGGAACCCUGGAGGUCUGAGAGGAGGAAGUCAAAACCUAUGGUGGCUGGAGAUUCAGCUGAGGACGGAGGAGCUGGCACCAGAUAUGGCCACAGACUCUGCAGGGCACAGUGCAAAACAAGAAUGUGGGGUCCCUUGUUCAAGAGCUGCUAAGAAUCACCACCACUCCAACCCUUAGAAGACUCGGAAUGGGUUCCUUCAUUAUAUGGCUACCAGAAAGCCCUAACUCCUCCUCUGCUGCCAAACAGGUAUCCUAAAUGACUUAGUUGAAUUUGACUUUUGAGUAUUCUACCUUUCGCUUAAGUUCAUUGACAAUACAUGUGGAUACACAUUAGAACUCUUCAUUGACUAUGUCAUGAUGUGUUAUUUUCAAAUCCAGUGGUUUUCAAAAUUUUACUGCAGGUGUGGAGAUAUAUGUAAUGUGACCUAGCCAAAAAAAGAGCUAAU